CUUGUUGAGUCAGUUUCGUCACGUGCAAAGGUAUCAUGAUGUCCUGGGUCUGAACUGUGUGAGACAAUGCCCACUGGAAAGCUCCCUUAGCUUCGAUGAUCGAAUCCUCCACGAUCGUAAUCCGGUGCCCAGGUUUGACGGCAUUCGGUUCCAGCUUUGAUUGUAUGGGAGACAACCGGACUCUUACAUAAGGCUUGAUGCUGUUGAUCCUGGCAAUCUUUUGCCUGUCCUCCCCAUUUUUCCUCAAGUGCAAAUGUUCAGGUGAGACACAUAUAACAGGAAGAUGCUGAAGCUAAAUCUGUACAAAUGCUGUGCUGAUUUCUAGAGGUUGGUCACGGUCAACUUUCACAAUCUUGCUCUGCUUUUAUUUUCUUCUCCUCCCCCUUUUCUUCUCUGAACUCUUGGGCAAUCUAGUCAUGUUGGUUGCUUUAAAAUUUAUCUUCUGUAGGGCCAGGCCCUCUUAGAUCAGCAAUCCCAGCACAAAAUGGCUUUUCUUUUGGAAGCUUAUUAUAAUCUUGGGUGGUCAAGUAUAUACUUGAUUUUCUCUUCGGUCUUUCCAUUACUCUGUUCAGAGGACAAUACCCUUCUUGCGUUUGCAUUGUAAGUUUUUUUUUGGGACAAUGGCGGUGCUUGCUGAUUUUUCUGUUCCUUCUUAUGUUUAUUCGUUAGCGAGAUGUUGUGCUGUUGGUGGUACUUUAAUUGCUUUGUCUCAUCGUCAGACUAGAGUAUGGGGGCGACGACAGUGCAAAUGCAUGUUUGUUUGAUGUUGAUCAAGGUACAGGUCCUCAUGGCAUUUUGUGGUCAUGUAGAAUGUGUAUUCAUUUCAGUGUAUUUCAGUAGCUUGAAAAGAUGUUAGUCUUAGGACUGCUGAGACUAUUUGCUUAGAAAUAUCUAUAACCAAACAUUUGCAAAUUGAGAUAAUGGGGUGUUUAUGUCUCAUGUAGUUCUCUUUGGUUGCAGAUUCCUUUACAGCGAAUCUUGUUGUGACGGAAGAGGAAUCGGUUUAUGAAUUCUGUUGAUAACCAUACAUGUCUGCUACAGGUUGUCUCGUUAAAUUUUCUCUUUUUCCACUUUAUCAUGGUUAUAUUUUGAGCUGUAGUUAUUUCUCUUAAGAUUACUAGCCACAGCUAAAAUUGAAAAUGGGAGCUUUUCAAAUUUCAGACCCGGUUAGCUGUGUAUUUGCAUCAACUACUUGUGAUCAUCCAAUUCAUGUCUGGGAUGCUACUACUGGAUAGGUCUGAAUUGUGAAGUUGAGCUUAGAGGUUUCAUGUACUCUAGGGAGACUUUACGGAAGCCAUAUAAUCGUUUAGGGGUACAUUGAAGUUGUGGACCCCGAACUUAUCACACAUCUUAGACAUGCUUGGUAGCAACUCUGUUAUCUGCAAACCUCUUAGCUUCUCUUUUAAAAUCUUCUUCGUGCAAACCCAUUUUGAAUUGUGUUGAAAAAAAUAGGAAAUUUUAUUGACUCGUCCACUUGACAUUACGGCUUCGUUGCACAUACAGGGCUUAUGACGCUGUGGAUGAAAUUAGAGCUGCAUUUUCAAUUGCAUUUAAUCCUGCGGGGAACAAAUCCAUAAGAGCGUUUCACGUACAUCGCCCUGGUAGGGAUUUUGAGAAGCACUCAACCCUUGAAGGAAACAAAGAAGGUCAAAUAGGUAUCAUAUCUGCCCUCGCUUUCUCUCCAGCUCAUACCAGAAUGCUGGCGACUGGUUCCUACAGCCAGACUAUUGCAAUCUACAAAGAUGAUAACUUGGAACUCUUACACAUCUUAUGUGGUCAGCAAGAUGGGGUUACCCAUAAUAAAAUUGCAAUUCCGGGUGUUAUUUUUGAAAGAUGGAAACUACUUGUAUACUGGAGGAGGAAAGGAAGAAUGCUCUAAAUCUUCUCUUUUCCUUUUCUU